rnacentral:pre_miRNA from 1 species
UACAAUAUUUUGAUUUUUCGUCUUAUUUGAAAUUUUUUUACGAUUAAUAUUUUUAUUCUUACUAGAUGAUAAAACAUGAAUAAUAUUUUAUGCGUAACUAAUUUUUUUAAGUUUUUUUUACAAACUUUUCAAAUAAGACGAAUAGUCAAACGUUGGACACGAAAAAACA